GACGAACGCUGGCGGCGUGCUUAACACAUGCAAGUCGAACGGAAAGGCCUUUUCGGAGGUACUCGAGUGGCGAACGGGUGCGUAACACGUGGGUGAUCUGCCCUGCACUCUGGGAUAAGCCUGGGAAACUGGGUCUAAUACCGGAUAGGACCGCACUUUAGUGUGUGUGGUGGAAAGUUUUUUCGGUGUAGGAUGAGCCCGCGGCCUAUCAGCUUGUUGGUGGGGUAAUGGCCGACCAAGGCGGCGACGGGUAGCCGGACUGAGAGGUUGGUCGGCCACAUUGGGACUGAGAGACGGCCCAGACUCCUACGGGAGGCAGCAGUGGGGAAUAUUGCACAAUGGGCGCAAGCCUGAUGCAGCGACGCCGCGUGGGGGAUGACGGCCUUCGGGUUGUAAACUCCUUUCGCCAGGGACGAAGCGUUUUGUGACGGUACCUGGAGAAGAAGCACCGGCUAACUACGUG
rnacentral:rRNA from 1 species